GACGAACCGUACGAACGUUAUUCGGAAUCACUGGGCUUAAAGGGUGCGUAGGCGGCGCAGAAAGUUGGGUGUGAAAUCCCUCGCUUAACCGAGGAAUUGCGCCCAAAACUACUGUGCUCGAGGGAGGUAGAGGUGAGCGGAACUUAGGGUGGAGCGGUGAAAUGCGUUGAUAUCCUAAGGAACACCGGUGGCGAAAGCGGCUCACUGGACCUCUUCUGACGCUGAGGCACGAAAGCUAGGGUAGCAAACGGGG
rnacentral:rRNA from 1 species